AGCGCACCGCAUUGGGGGUAACACUCAAUGGCAUUGUAAACCCCAUCUAAAGCAAGACCAAAUAGUGCCCCUAUGAGGUUGCUCGCAUCGUGGCAGGGUAGGUCGCUUGAGCUUAUUGGUGACAAUAGGCCUAGAUAAAUGACUGUCUAUUACAGAACCCGGCUUAUAGACUGGCUUUGUAU
rnacentral:RNase_P_RNA from 1 species